ACCUGCCUGCAGCCAAAAUAUCAAACACACACUUCAGGCCAGGACUUCCUUAAUGGUUCCUGCUGCCUGACUGUUCAUGGCUUCUGAACUAUGAUCUCAGGCCAAGGGAAAAGAAGCAAGCGACAGUAAGCUGUGUGGAUCAAAGAGCUUCAUCAGUGUUGAGGCUUUGAGGAGACAAUCGUCGAGGGGUUGGAAUUCCUAGAGACCGGAGAGUUGCCCUGGAGUCCUUCAUGGAGUGGAGUAUGUCAUUCGUCAUGGAGGUGAAUAAUUUUUCACCAUCGAAGGGGAGAUCCUUAAUGGUACUCUGGACCUCCUGGGGAAAGGAAGAGGAUGAGAGCCAUGAACCUUGGCACAUCACAACUGCUGUGGCAGUGGACCGUGCCGCAGUAUUGGCCGCAUCAAGGGCCAAUCUUGAAGAGCAGUGUGGAAGAUGAUUUGUCCCUCGGAAACUAUGGCUGUAAAUUGUUGUUUCUUUUCUUCUGGAAUGUGAUCAAUAAAGUCCAUGAAUUUAUUGUAAUUUUUGUGGUCAUAUUUUGCUAGAACGACUGUAUAAUUAGCAGUGCGAAAUUGCAACUAGGAAGAAGCAUAUACCUUACGUCUGAGCAGAUCUAGUUGCUUAUUGUCCUUGU